rnacentral:rRNA from 1 species
UACGAAGGGGGCUAGCGUUGCUCGGAAUGACUGGGCGUAAAGGGCGCGUAGGCGGUUCGUACAGUCAGACGUGAAAUUCCCGGGCUCAACCUGGGGGCUGCGUUUGAUACGUGCGGGCUUGAGUUCGGAAGAGGGUCGUGGAAUUCCCAGUGUAGAGGUGAAAUUCGUAGAUAUUGGGAAGAACACCGGUGGCGAAGGCGGCUCACUGGCCCGGUACUGACGCUGAAAUACGAAAGCGUGGGGAGCAAACAGG